rnacentral:tRNA from 4 species
GGGCCGCUAGCUCAGUUGGUAGAGCAGCUGACUCUUAAUCAGCGGGUCGCAGGUUCGAUCCCUGUGCGGCCCACCA